UACGUAGGGGGCUAGCGUUGUCCGGAAUCAUUGGGCGUAAAGCGCGUGUAGGCGGUCCGGUAAGUCCGCUGUGAAAGUCGAGGGCUCAACCCUCGAAUGCCGGUGGAUACUGUCGGGCUAGAGUACGGAAGAGGCGAGUGGAAUUCCUGGUGUAGCGGUGAAAUGCGCAGAUAUCAGGAGGAACACCAAUGGCGAAGGCAGCUCGCUGGGACGUGACUGACGCUGAGACGCGAAAGCGUGGGGAGCAAACAGG
rnacentral:rRNA from 1 species